rnacentral:rRNA from 1 species
UCAGGUGGGACUACCCGCUGAACUUAAGCAUAUCAAUAAGCGGAGGAAAAGAAACUAACCAGGAUUCCCCUAGUAACGGCGAGUGAAGAGGGAAAAGCCCAAAUUUGUAAUCUGGCUCUUUCAGAGUCCGAGUUGUAAUUUUAAGAACUGUUUUCCGUGCUGGACCAUUUCUAAGUCUGUUGAAAAAUAGCAUCAUUGAGGGUGAUAAUCCCGUUCAUGAUAUGGACUACCAGUGCAGUGUGAUACAGUUUCUAAGAGUCGAGUUGUUUGGGAAUGCAGCUCAAAGUGGGUGGUAAAUUCCAUCUAAGGCUAAAUAUAGGUGAGAGACCGAUAGCAUACAAGUACCGUGAGGGAAAGAUGAAAAGAACUUUGGAAAGAGAGUUAACAGUACGUGAAAUUGUUGUAAGGGAAACAAUUAAAGUUAGCCUUGUGCUUGUUAGUUCAGCUCUUUAACUAGGGUGUAUUCUAAUGAUGUCACGGACCAACAUCAGUUUUUGGGUGCUGGAUAAGGGCUCCAGAAAUGUAGCAGUUUUGGCUGUGUUAUAGUCUGGGGUUGGAUACAGUGCUUGGGACUGAGGAGAUCUGCAGCAAGCCAGUCAAAUGGCCG